UACAGAGGGUGCAAGCGUUGCUCGGAUUUACUGGGCGUAAAGCGUACGCAGACGGUAAGAAAGGUCGGAUGUGAAAGCCCCGGGCUCAACCCGGGAACUGCAUCCGAAACCAUCUUGCUAGAGUAUGGGAGAGGGAAGCGGAAUUCCUGGUGUAGAGGUGAAAUUCGUAGAUAUCGGGAGGAAUACCAGUGGCGAAGGCGGCGACCUGGGCCAAUACUGACGCUGAGGUGCGAAAGCGUGGGGAGCAAACAGG
rnacentral:rRNA from 1 species